rnacentral:rRNA from 1 species
UACGUAGGGGCCUAGCGUUGUCCGGAUUCAUUGGGCGUAAAGGGUGCGUAGGCGGCGCGGUAAGUCGGGUGUGAAAUUUCGAGGCUUAACUUCGAAACUGCAUUCGAUACUGCCGUGCUUGAGGACUGGAGAGGAGACUGGAAUUUACGGUGUAGCGGUGAAAUGCGUAGAUAUCGUAAGGAAGACCAGUGGCGAAGGCGGGUCUCUGGACAGUUCCUGACGCUGAGGCACGAAGGCCAGGGGAGCAAACGGG